AAUUUGCGUUUUUAAUUCUACAUCAAUUUUGAUGUAAGAGAAUUCCACAUAAUUUCAUCAGACUGGAAGCUUAA